GAUGAACGCUAGCGGCAGGCCUAACACAUGCAAGUCGAGGGGCAGCACAUAAAGUGGUUUACUACUUUUGGUGGCGACCGGCGGACGGGUGCGUAACGCGUAUGCAACCUGCCUCCAACAGGGGGAUAACGGAGAGAAAUUUCCACUAAUACCCCAUAAUAUCAGAAUCGGCAUCGGUUUUGGUUGAAAACUCCGGUGGUUGGAGAUGGGCAUGCGUUGUAUUAGAUAGUUGGUGAGGUAACGGCUCACCAAGUCAACGAUACAUAGGGGGACUAAGAGGUUAGCCCCCCACACUGGUACAGAGACACGCACCAGACUCAUACGGGAGGCAGCAGUGAGGAAUAUUGGUCAAUGGGGGCAACCCUGAACCAGCCAUGCCGCGUGCAGGAAGACGGCUCUAUAAGUUGUAAACUGCUUUUACAAGGGGAUAAAUCGGUGUACGUGUACACCGUUGAAGGUACCUUGGGAAUAAGGAUCGGCUAACUCCGUGCCAGCAGCCGCCGUAA
rnacentral:rRNA from 1 species